rnacentral:rRNA from 1 species
AACGAACGCUGGCGCCAUGCCUAACACAUGCAAGUCGAACGAGACCUUCGGGUCUAGUGGCGCACGGGUGCGUAACGCGUGGGAACCUGCCCUUAGGUUCGGAAUAACUCCCCGAAAGGGGUGCUAAUACCGGAUAAUGUCUUCGGACCAAAGAUUUAUCGCCUUUGGAUGGGCCCGCGUUGGAUUAGCUAGUUGGUAGGGUAAAAGCCUACCAAGGCGACGAUCCAUAGCUGGUCUGAGAGGAUGAUCAGCCACACUGGGACUGAGACACGGCCCAGACUCCUACGGGAGGCAGCAGUGGGGAAUAUUGGACAAUGGGCGAAAGCCUGAUCCAGCAAUGCCGCGUGAGUGAUGAAGGCCUUAGGGUUGUAAAGCUCUUUUACCCGGGAUGAUAAUGACAGUACCGGGAGAAUAAGCUCCGGCUAACUCCGUG